UACGGAUGGUGCUAGCGUUGUUCGGAAUUACUGGGCGUAAAGCGCACGUAGGCGGCUUUGUAAGUUAGAGGUGAAAGCCCGGAGCUCAACUCCGGAAUUGCCUUUAAGACUGCAUCGCUAGAAUUGUGGAGAGGUGAGUGGAAUUCCGAGUGUAGAGGUGAAAUUCGUAGAUAUUCGGAAGAACACCAGUGGCGAAGGCGACUCACUGGACACAUAUUGACGCUGAGGUGCGAAAGCGUGGGGAGCAAACAGG
rnacentral:rRNA from 1 species